GGCGGACGGGUGAGUAACACGUGAGAAUCUAGCAAAAGGUUCGGGAUAACAGUUGGAAACGACUGCUAAUACCGGAUGUGCCGAAAGGUGAAAGAUUAAUUGCCAUUUGAAGAGCUCGCGUCCGAUUAGCUAGUUGGUGAGGUAAAAGCUCACCAAGGCGACGAUCGGUAGCUGGUCUGAGAGGAUGACCAGCCACACUGGGACUGAGACACGGCCCAGACUCCUACGGGAGGCAGCAGUCGGGAAUUUUGGGCAAUGGGCGAAAGCCUGACCCAGCAACGCCGCGUGAAGGAUGAAAUCCCUCGGGAUGUAAACUUCAUAAGAACGGGAAGAAUAAGCCGGUGCUAAUACCACCGGUGAUGACGGUACCGUUAGUAAGCUCCGGCUAACUCCGUGCCAGCAGCCGCGGUAAUACGGGGGGAGCAAGCGUUGUUCGGAUUUACUGGGCGUAAAGGGCGCGUAGGCGGCCACCGCAAGUCGACUGUGAAAUCUCCGGGCUUAACCCGGAAAGGUCAGCCGAUACUGCGGGGCUAGAGUGCAGAAGGGGCAACUGGAAUUCUCGGUGUAGCGGUGAAAUGCGUAGAUAUCGAGAGGAACACCUGCGGCGAAGGCGGGUUGCUGGGCUGACACUGACGCUGAGGCGCGAAAGCUAGGGGAGCGAACGGGAUUAGAUACCCCGGUAGUCC
rnacentral:rRNA from 1 species